UACGUAGGGUGCAAGCGUUGUCCGGAAUUAUUGGGCGUAAAGAGCUCGUAGGCGGUCUGUCGCGUCGGAUGUGAAAACCUGGGGCUCAACCCCGGGCCUGCAGCCGAUACGGGCAAACUAGAAUUCGGUAGGGGAGACUGGAAUUCCUGGUGUAGCGGUGAAAUGCGCAGAUAUCAGGAGGAACACCGGUGGCGAAGGCGGGUCUCUGGGCCGAUAUUGACGCUGAGGAGCGAAAGCGUGGGGAGCAAACAGG
rnacentral:rRNA from 1 species